rnacentral:rRNA from 1 species
UUAGUAACUGCGAGUGAAGAGGGAAAAGCUCAAAUUUAAAAUCUGGCAGUGUUUCACUGUCCGAGUUGUAACCUAGAGAAGUGUAACCUGCGCUGGACCGUGUAUAAGUCUCCUGGAAUGGAGCGUCACAGAGGGUGAGAAUCCCGUCUUUGACACGGACUACCAGUGCAUUGUGGUUGUGCUCUCAACGAGUCGAGUUGUUUGGGAAUGCAGCUCUAAAUGGGUGGUAAAUUCCAUCUAAAGCUAAAUAUUGGCGAGAGACCGAUAGCGAACAAGUACCGUGAGGGAAAGAUGAAAAGAACUUUGGAAAGAGAGUUAAACAGUAUGUGAAAUUGUUGAAAGGGAAACGUUUGAAGUCAGUCGCGUUGGUUGGGGAUCAGCCUGACAUUUGUUGGGUGUACUUCCUGGUUGACGGGCCAACAUCAGUUUUGACUGCCAGAAAAAGGCCAGAGGAAUGUGGCACCUUUGGGUGUGUUAUAGCCCUUGGUCGUAUAUGGUGGUUGGGACUGAGGAAAGCAGCGUGCCGAAAGGCCGGGUUUCGACCACGUUCACGCUGAGGAUGUUGGCAUAAUGGCUUUAAGCGACCCGUCUUGAAACACGGACCAAGGAGUCUAACAUGCAUGCGAGUGUUUGGGUGGAAAACCCUUACGCGUAAUGAAAGUGAAAGUUGAGAUCCCUGUCGCGGGGAGCAUCGACGCCCGGACCAGAACUUUUGGGACGGAUCUGCGGUAGAGCACGUAUGUUGGGACCCGAAAGAUGGUGAACUAUGCCUGAAUAGGGUGAAGCCAGAGGAAACUCUGGUGGAGGCUCGUAGCGAUUCUGACGUGCAAAUCGAUCGUCAAAUUUGGGUAUAGGGGCGAAAGACUAAUCG